CCUACGGGUGGCAGCAGUGAGGAAUAUUGGUCAAUGGCCGGAAGGCUGAACCAGCCAUGCCGCGUGAAGGUCAGUGCCCUAUGGGCGUUAAACUUCUUUUGUGCGGGAGCAAUAAUGGUCACGUGUGGCCAGACGAGAGUACCGUACGAAUAAGCAUCGGCUAACUCCGUGCCAGCAGCCGCGGUAAUACGGGGGAUGCAAGCGUUAUUCGGAUUGAUUGGGUUUAAAGGGUGCGUAGGCUGUUAGGUAAGUCAGCGGUGAAAUGCCCCCGCUCAACGGGGUGAAGUGCCAUUGAUACUGGCAUGCUAGAAUGCGGAUGCCGUGAGAGGAAUGUGUGGUGUAGCAGUGAAAUGCGUAGAUAUC
rnacentral:rRNA from 1 species